ACGGGAGGCAGCAGUGAGGAAUAUUGGUCAAUGGGCGAGAGCUUGAACCAGCCAAGUCGCGUGCGGGAUGAAGGCCCUACGGGUCGUAAACCGCUUUUAUACGGGAAUAAAGUGCGCCUCGUGAGGCGUUUUGCAGGUACCGUAGGAAUAAGGAUCGGCUAACUCCGUGCCAGCAGCCGCGGUAAUACGGAGGAUCCGAGCGUUAUCCGGAUUUAUUGGGUUUAAAGGGUGCGCAGGCGGAGAUGCAAGCCAGCCGUAAAAUCGUGGGGCUCAACCCCAUUCAGCGGUUGGAACUUCAUCCCUUGAUUGCGGCAGAGGGAGGUGGAACUCGUGGUGUAGCGGUGAAAUGCAUAGAUAUCACGAAGAACUCCGAUUGCGAAGGCAGCCUCCUGGACCGUAAAUGACGCUCAUGCACGAAGGCGCGGGUAUCAAACAGGAUUAGAUACCCUGGUA
rnacentral:rRNA from 1 species